CCACCUCUUCAUGCUCAAUUUCGGUAUGGACUGUGUCCGAUUUCAAUGGGAUUAUGAGACGAGAAGAACCGCCUGGUAAUUACAAGGAACGGAGAGAGCACCAAGUGGUCAAGUGGCUCGGAUGAAAAAAA
ensembl:ncRNA F58F12.7 ncRNA